UGAAAUUAUACCACAUAUUUCAAUAUCAUGAAAGGAUGGUCAGUAUUGACUUUGGGGGUUGAUGGCUCAAAAUGUUUUGGAAAUGGGGGCAAAAAAAAGGGGAAAAACUAGGUUUUUCUUGUCAAUGGAUAAUUAAGAAAAUUUAAAAGCAGUGUGAGGGAGGUAAAUCAAAAACAUUUAACAUACAAUGUUGGGUAUGUUAGGAUUUACCUCCCUUACAUUACUUGUAAAUUAUGUAUAAAGAAAUGUCAGUCAGGUUUUGGACUUGUUGCACAAAAAAAGGG
rnacentral:lncRNA from 1 species